UUGGAGGGCAAGUCUGGUGCCAGCAGCCGCGGUAAUUCCAGCUCCAAUAGCGUAUAUUAAAGUUGUUGCAGUUAAAAAGCUCGUAGUUGAACUUCGGGGUUUACCCAUUGGUCAGGCUUAAUUGUCUGUACUGGUGAGAUAAAUCUCUACCUUCUGAGGAACUUUCAUGCCAUUUAUUUGGUGUGAUGGGAAAUCAGGACUGUUACUUUGAAAAAAUUAGAGUGUUUAAAGCAGGC
rnacentral:rRNA from 1 species